rnacentral:rRNA from 1 species
GUGGGGAAUAUUGGACAAUGGGGGGAACCCUGAUCCAGCCAUGCCGCGUGUGUGAAGAAGGCCUUUUGGUUGUAAAGCACUUUAAGCGAGGAGGAGGCUACCGAGAUUAAUACUCUUGGAUAGUGGACGUUACUCGCAGAAUAAGCACCGGCUAACUCUGUGCCAGCAGCCGCGGUAAUACAGAGGGUGCAAGCGUUAAUCGGAUUUACUGGGCGUAAAGCGCGCGUAGGUGGCCAAUUAAGUCAAAUGUGAAAUCCCCGAGCUUAACUUGGGAAUUGCAUUAGAUACUGGUUGGCUAGAGUAUGGGAGAGGAUGGUAGAAUUCCAGGUGUAGCGGUGAAAUGCGUAGAGAUCUGGAGGAAUACCGAUGGCGAAGGCAGCCAUCUGGCCUAAUACUGACACUGAGGUGCGAAAGCAUGGGGAGCAAACAGGAUUAGAAACCCCGGUAGUCC